AGAGCGAACGCUGGCGGCAUGCUUAACACAUGCAAGUCGCACGGGCAGGGGAAACCCUGUCAGUGGCGGACGGGUGAGUAACGCGUAGGUAUCUAUCCUUGGGUGGGGGACAACGGUUGGAAACGACUGCUAAUACCGCAUAAUGACCGAGGUCUAAAGGCGCAAGUCGCCUGGGGAGGAGCCUGCGUACGAUUAGCUAGUUGGUGGGGUAAAGGCCUACCAAGGCGACGAUCGUUAGCUGGUCUGAGAGGAUGAUCAGCCACAUUGGGACUGAGACACGGCCCAAAACUCCUACGGGAGGCAGCAGUGGGGAAUAUUGGACAAUGGGCGAAAGCCUGAUCCAGCAAAUGCCGCGUGUGUGAAGAAGGUCUUCGGAUUGUAAAGCACUUUCGACGGGACGAUGAUGACGGUACCGUAGAAGAAGCCCGGACUAACGUUCGCGCCAGCGAGCCGC
rnacentral:rRNA from 1 species